rnacentral:sRNA from 1 species
GAUGCGGAAAUGAAAAACCUCGUGGGCUCAGCCCGGGAGAAAGGGCCAGGGAAGUUGGGUGGUUCUGUGCUUGGUCUGUCAAUGGAGGAGAUCAAAGUUUUACGUAGGGUGAAGGAGGAGAAUGAUCGGAGAGGUGGAUUUAUUCGCAUAUUUCCUACAUCUGAGACAUGGGAAAUAUAUGGGUCCUACCUCGAGCACAAGACCUCAAUGAACUAUAUGCUGGCAACACGCCUCUUCCAGGACAGGGGAAACCCAAGAAGAAGCUUAUUGACAGGAAGAACACGAAUGACUGCUGAUGGAGCGCCAGAAUUGAAGAUAGAGAGUCUGAAUUCAAAGGCCAAGCUGCAUGCUGCGCUUUACGAGAGGAAGCUCCUGUCUCUGGAGGUGCGAAAACGUAGACGACGGAGUAGCAGAUUGAGGGCAAUGAGGCCAAAAUACCCAGUGAUUACCCAACCAGCUGAAAUGAAUGUUAAAACUGAGACAGAGAGUGAAGAGGAGGAAGAAGUCGCAUUA